UACGUAGGGUGCAAGCGUUGUCCGGAAUUAUUGGGCGUAAAGAGCUCGUAGGCGGUCUGUCGCGUCGAAUGUGAAAACCCGGGGCUCAACCCCGGGCCUGCAUUCGAUACGGGCAGACUAGAGUUCGGUAGGGGAGUCUGGAAUUCCUGGUGUAGCGGUGAAAUGCGCAGAUAUCAGGAGGAACGCCGGUGGCGAAGGCGGGACUCUGGGCCGUAACUGACGCUGAGGAGCGAAAGCAUGGGGAGCGAACAGG
rnacentral:rRNA from 1 species